AACGAACGCUGGCGGCAGGCCUAACACAUGCAAGUCGAGCGAAGCCUUCGGGCUUAGCGGCGGACGGGUGAGUAACGCGUGGGAACGUGCCCUUUGGUACGGAAUAGCCCCGGGAAACUGGGAGUAAUACCGUAUGUGGUCGAGAGACGAAAGAUUUAUCGCCAAAGGAUCGGCCCGCGUUGGAUUAGGUAGUUGGUGGGGUAAUGGCCUACCAAGCCGACGAUCCAUAGCUGGUUGGAGAGGAUGAUCAGCCCAACUGGGACUGAGACACGGCCCAGACUCCUACGGGAGGCAGCAGUGGGGAAUCUUAGACAAUGGGGGAAACCCUGAUCUAGCCAUGCCGCGUGAUCGAUGAAGGCCUUAGGGUUGUAAAGAUCUUUCAGUGGGGAAGAUAAUGACUGUACCCACAGAAGAAGCCCCGGCUAACUCCGUGCCAGCCGCCGCGGUAAAAC
rnacentral:rRNA from 1 species